ACAAACGUUUUCGCUUUAAUGUUAGCUCCUCAGGUGCAUAUUUAAAUAUGCACCUGAGGAGCUAACAUUAAAGCGAAAACGUUUGU